rfam:Capsicum annuum cultivar Zunla-1 chromosome 5, whole genome shotgun sequence
AAACUGUUGGUGACGUGGACAAUCUUCAAGAAGAGCCUUGAAGCAUUCCUAAGCAUAAUAAUAGUUUUCAUCAGGCUUCUGUUUGAAGCUCACUAUCUCACUGCGAAGUCU